AUGUACCUCAUUGAUUGGAAAGGUUUACUUCUGGUUGAUGAGGUACAUGUACCUUGUUGAUCAGAAGGAAACCCUUCCAAUCAAUGAGGUACAU
rnacentral:miRNA from 1 species